UUCCAGACUCCUACGGGAGGCAGCAGUGAGGAAUAUUGGUCAAUGGUCGGGAGACUGAACCAGCCAAGCCGCGUGAGGGAUGAAGGUACAGAGUAUCGUAAACCUCUUUUGUCAGGGAACAAAGGCGGGGACGUGUCCCCGGAUGAGUGUACCUGAAGAAAAAGCAUCGGCUAACUCCGUGCCAGCAGCCGCGGUAAUACGGAGGAUGCGAGCGUUAUCCGGAUUUAUUGGGUUUAAAGGGUGCGUAGGCGGUCUGUUAAGUCAGCGGUAAAAUUGCGGGGCUCACCCCCGUCGAGCCGUUGAAACUGGCAGACUUGAGUUGGCGAGAAGUACGCGGAAUGCGCGGUGUAGCGGUGAAAUGCAUAGAUAUCGCGCAGAACUCCGAUUGCGAAGGCAGCAUGCCGGCUCCACACUGACGCUGAGGCACGAAAGCGUGGGUAUCGAACAGGAUUAGAUACCCCGGUA
rnacentral:rRNA from 1 species